CUGGAAGCGCGCGCUCCCAGGCUGCCCCAACUGCUCCAGCUUCCGUUGGGGCUCCAGCGGGGCAAGGCGCAGGCGCGAGCGCUGACGGCGGGUUCCCAACGGCCGGCAGGGCUCCCAUGGCGGCGUCCAGACUCAGUCCCGUAGGCCCGAGGUACUGGACCCGCGAACCUCUCCCGUCCCCAGUGUGUCCCUGCCUGGUCCUCUGGCCCCUGCGCCUCGCCGGGCAGCCCGGGCGCCGGCCUCGCCUCCCCUGGGACGUGGGCCGCCCGCACCAGGCCUGGAAGUGAGGGGCGCGUCGGCCAGUGAGGCGCCUUGUCGAAGCGUCGUCUGUCCGUGUCCCUUGCAGCCUGUGCAGCGCCAGGCUCCAGGGCACCUGUGUGGUGCUUGAGAAGUGCGGUCCUGGUCAGCAGGUCCGUGGCUCCUGUUGGUGUCAGACGAAGUGGUGACGGUCAUCUCCUGUUCCCUGUGAAAGCUGUGAAUGUUGGGGACACCGUCAGCCGGCAUCCGGGUUGUUAGGCUGAAGGACAUUCAUUUCCUGUGACGUUAGCGACUUUGCAGAAGGGAACACACUGAGCCCAGUGCGCUGAGUCCGCUGUGGUCACACCGUGAUUGACGGCCGUCAUAGGUGGGCUGUUGGUGGGCGCCUCUGGACAGAGCACCUAAAUGAUGACGGGAGAAUCCUGUCACCCCAAGUCGUGUGCAAUAAAGAGACUCGUGUUG
rnacentral:lncRNA from 1 species